rnacentral:rRNA from 1 species
GACGUAGGGGGCGAGCGUUGUCCGGAAUCAUUGGGCGUAAAGAGCGCGUAGGCGGCCCGGAAAGUGGGGUGUGAAAACCCGAGGCUCAACCUCGGGCCUGCAGUGGGUACGGGCAGACUAGAGUGCGGUAGGGGAGAUUGGAAUUCCUGGUGUAGCGGUGGAAUGCGCAGAUAUCAGGAGGAACACCGAUGGCGAAGGCAGAUCUCUGGGCCGUAACUGACGCUGAGGAGCGAAAGCGUGGGGAGCGAACAGG